GAUGAACGCUGGCGGCGUGCCUAAUACAUGCAAGUCGAGCGAACAGACGAGGAGCUUGCUCCUCUGACGUUAGCGGCGGACGGGUGAGUAACACGUGGAUAACCUACCUAUAAGACUGGGAUAACUUCGGGAAACCGGAGCUAAUACCGGAUAAUAUAUUGAACCGCAUGGUUCAAUAGUGAAAGACGGUUUUGCUGUCACUUAUAGAUGGAUCCGCGCCGCAUUAGCUAGUUGGUAAGGUAACGGCUUACCAAGGCAACGAUGCGUAGCCGACCUGAGAGGGUGAUCGGCCACACUGGAACUGAGACACGGUCCAGACCCCUACGGGAGGCAGCAGUAGGGAAUCUUCCGCAAAGGGCGAAAGCCUGACGGAGCAACGCCGCGUGAGUGAUGAAGAUCUUCGGAUCGUAAAACUCUGUUAUUAGGGAAGAACAAAUGUGUAAGUAACUAUGCACGUCUUGACGGUACCUAAUCAGAAAGCCACGGCUAACUACGUG
rnacentral:rRNA from 1 species